AAUCAACGCUGGCGGCGUGCCUCAGACAUGCAAGUCGAACGCGAAAGCCUCCUUCGGGGGGCAAGUAGAGUGGCGCACGGGUGAGUAACACGUAGGUAAUCUACCUUUGGAUUGGGAAUAACCACCGGAAACGGUGGCUAAUACCGAAUAAUGCAGCGGCACCUAAUGGUGACAGUUGUUAAAGCGGGGGAUCGCAAGACCUCGCGUCUGAAGAGGAGCCUGCGGCAGAUUAGCUAGUUGGUAAGGUAACGGCUUACCAAGGCGAUGAUCUGUAGCCGGCCUGAGAGGGCGGUCGGCCACACUGACACUGACAUACGGGUCAGACUCCUACGGGAGGCAGCAGUCGGGAAUUUUGGGCAAUGGGCGAAAGCCUGACCCAGCAACGCCGCGUGAAGGAUGAAAUCCUUCGGGAUGUAAACUUCGCAAGAACGGGAAGAAUAAGUAAGAGCUAACAUCUCUUACGAUGACGGUACUGUUUGUAAGCUCCGGCUAACUCCGUGC
rnacentral:rRNA from 1 species